AACGUAGGACACAAGCGUUAUCCGGAGUUACUGGGCGUAAAGGGCGUGCAGGCGGUCUGUUAAGAGAGGCUUGAAAGCCCCCGGCUAAACUGGGGGUGGUGGCUUGAGACUGGCAGACUAGAGGAUGGUAGAGGCGUGUAGAAUUCCGGGUGUAGUGGUGAAAUGCGUAGAGAUCCGGAGGAAUACCAGUGGCGAAGGCGGCACGCUGGGCCAUUACUGACGCUAAGACGCGAAAGCAUGGGUAGCGAACGGG
rnacentral:rRNA from 1 species